rnacentral:tRNA from 1 species
GGAGAGAUGGCAGAGUGGUCUAAUGCGCACGCCUGGAGAGCGUGAGUGGGGCUAAAACCCCACCGGGAGUUCGAAUCUCCCUCUCUCCGCCA